rnacentral:rRNA from 1 species
GACGAACGCUGGCGGCGUGCCUAAUACAUGCAAGUAGAACGCACAGUUUAUACCGUAGCUUGCUACACCAUAGACUGUGAGUUGCGAACGGGUGAGUAACGCGUAGGUAACCUGCCUGGUAGCGGGGGAUAACUAUUGGAAACGAUAGCUAAUACCGCAUAAUAUUAAUUAUUGCAUGAUAAUUGAUUGAAAGGUGCAAUUGCACCACUACCAGAUGGACCUGCGUUGUAUUAGCUAGUAGGUGAGGUAACGGCUCACCUAGGCGACGAUACAUAGCCGACCUGAGAGGGUGAUCGGCCACACUGGGACUGAGACACGGCCCAGACUCCUACGGGAGGCAGCAGUAGGGAAUCUUCGGCAAUGGACGAAAGUCUGACCGAGCAACGCCGCGUGAGUGAAGAAGGUUUUCGGAUCGUAAAGCUCUGUUGUAAGAGAAGAACGGGUGUGAGAGUGGAAAGUUCACACUGUGACG